rfam:Klebsormidium nitens DNA, contig: KFL_200.
UGCGCAAGUGAUGAAAGAAGAUAGGGACAUCCGACUCCUUAUGGAGACUGCGGACAAAACAUCUUCAUUGGGAAUCUCUCUGAUGCGCA